GAUGCAGUGGUAGUGACUCUAUGUUAACUCAGGAACGAAGCGCUUUGGAAUUCUAAUCAGAUUACAAGCUCUGCUUCCUCCUUCCUUCAUCAGUGAUUAGCUGCCCAAGUUAGUGACCAUCCAUCCUAUUUUGACUACUCUUCGACAGUUUCUGUGGCUGAUUUGUUGAAAUGGCACAAGCCUGCUUCGGGAUUCUUGAAAUGCAAUACAGAUGCUUCCUCCCGUCUGCAUCAUAACAAAAUUGAGCAGGUUGGGUUCUUUGUGAUUGGAGAGGACAGCUGAUUAAGGCUUGCUAAAUUGAGCUUCUUGGUCCACCUGAUCCGAAAAUCACUGAAGCUCUCUCUCUCCAAGAAGCUCUUAGCUUGAUUGAUGGAAGGGGCAUGCAUAUCACCUAAUUUAUUAACUUAUUCAACCUUAAUUUGAAUGCUGAUGUUGUUCCUUAUCCUGCACUUAUGGAUGCCCAGUGCAAGAAUUGUUAAGUGAAAUCUGCUGUGACUUUAUUUGAUGAGAUAACUAAGUAGGGAAUCAAGCCUAAUGUUGUCACUUAUAAGGCCACUCAAGAAUAUUACAGUGGCAAGCAGGAAAUUUUGUCCGUCUUAAAUACUUGCAGUUGCAGUUGCGUAAAAUGCAGCAAUUGUUGUCGUUUUCUAUAAUAAGAUUACUGCCAUGUUGUGAAUGUUUAAAAAUGAGAACAUGCAAUAUUUACACUGUAAUUUUGGUGCAUUUGCAUCUAAGGAAAAUUACAGGAAAAGUACUCCUGUAAUUUUAAUAUUUUUUUAACCCUGCUAAUUCUGAACUUAAA
rnacentral:misc_RNA from 1 species